ensembl:ncRNA asRNA:CR46471 antisense RNA:CR46471
AAGACCCAUAAUUAUACUACUCGUAGGCUCUAAAUGAUAAUUAUCAUUAAAACAAAGAAGAUACAAAAGGCGAAUAUCAAUUACGGGCUGAGAACAGGAAAGAUCUGUCAAAUGUAAAUGCCUUUCUCCACGCCGACGAUCAGAUCAUCAUCUUUCCCCAUUUGUGCUUUGGCAUUUCCGUAGCUUCUUUUCUUCCCACCCCCUCCCAAAGAAUACCAUGCUGAGGUAUGUAGAUAUAUGUCGCAAAGAAAGAAAGAGUUCCGAGCUCCAAUGCUUAAUGCUCAAUGCUCAAUGAAUUGUAUUACAAUGCGAAAGCCGUGGGGCAAAAGUAAAAAAUAAUAAUAAUAAUAAAAUCAGAGGAAAAGACCGUACAAAGCCCAGUUCCAAUAGGGACUCUCGUCGACAGUUGUCCAAGCCGGAAGUGUCGCAUACUUUUACGGAUACACCGGCUUAAUUAUGCGCAUAAAAUGUAAGAACAACAAAAACAGCAUCCCCAUCAAGACGAUGGAGCAGCGGGCAAUGUCGGGCUUGAAAUGACAAAACACAAACAUUAAUUGCUCCACAUUCACAUUCACGUUCACAUUGUGAUGCGGGGGCGGGGUAGGAAAAUCAGAAUGGAUGGAUGGGGAUCCAGAAGGAGGAGGCGUACAUAUGCUCUGGGGACUGACUGACUCGUAUUCCCCCAGGAUUUGAGUGGAAAAGAAAGCGAACAGGGUAGCGAAAGGUGCACUGAAAGAAAGCCAAGCAGAAUUAUUCAAAUAAUAAUCAAAUAAUAAUCAAAUGUUUUAAAACCGAUUUGUAAUCAUGUUGUUUAAACUUUGUUAAACUUAGAAUUGUAAUCCACAAGUUCUCUACAUUAUAAUUUUCGCUGAAAUAUUCAUUUUUUGAGUGACACAAAAACUUUAAAUAUGACUCUAUAGAUGCCAGAUGUAAACCAGUUUAAUUGAAGCAUAUAGUCCCCCUCGGGAAAAGGUAGAAUAUUAGUCAUACGGUGAUAUACAGAUUUUGCAGUCAGUUUAUCCAGUAUUAUGUCAUGCUUAAAUCAAAUAUUAAAACAAUAUCGGUACAUAAUGAUUUUUACUGCUCUCAAGGUUUCAAAAAUUUACUUACAUUGAACGGACAAGAAUGAUUCAUGUUCGAAAAUUCUUUAAAUGUGUCGAAAAAGUAGCUAGCAACGGGACUGUACUUCGGAUUCUUGACGAGCUUGCAACAAUCCACUGUUAUAUUGUACAGAAAGGGUUUGUAUCCAUUGUGUCGUUGAAACAGUGCUCCAUUAACCUAAGUCACAAGUCUAGAGUUUUUCGAAAAAGGCAUUCUGUUUUUUCAUACCUUAGCAUUGGUUACUGGCAAUUGUAGCAAUUUUAAUUUAACCGAAAUAUACUUGUAUGUCCUGUUCACAGACUUUAGAUAGCAGUAUUCAAAUUCGCUAAAUUCCUUAUCCACAGCCUCACAAUUUAUAUUUUUAAACUCGAGCAUGGCAGUUGUCUAAAAUGUAAGUUAUCCUCUGUUAAAAGACUGAUUUUAGGCAUGAUUUAAGUGCAUAUCUACUCACUUUGCUGGCCAAUUGCAUGGCUAGCCACAAAGUAAGCAAAAGGCUUAGCUUUGUAUACAUCCUAAGUCAUCGGUGAUCACGCCCAAACUAAUUUUGAAAUGCGUGGCUCUAGCUAAUACGAGUAUUAUCAUAUAACUAAUAUCAAAUCAAUUAAAAUGCGAUUAGACUCGCAACAAUUUGAAAAUAUAAUUGACUUCAUUUGAACAUUUUUUUACAUUUUUUUUUUUUUUUAUAUUUUUUUUACAUUUUGUUUUUAAUUGAAAUUCAAUUAAUCAACAUUGAACUUAGCUUUUCACCCAAUUUCUUUUGAGUGUAAUCACAGCGACUCCAUUCAGAGAAGCGGCUUAUAAUUUAUUAAUCUAUGCAUAGAGCCCAACAAAUACUCGUACUCGACUCGCAAUGCCCCUGCCCGCCCCCACUUUGCCCCACUCUCGAGUGGUGGAAGGUGUUGGCAGUGGGUCCGUCUCCUCGUCAGACAGUCCGUCGCUAUCCGCUGCCAUCCGUUGCUAUAUAGCCUGAAUAUACGGACCACUACAUGUCACUUUAAUCUCUUGGAAGUGUCACUUUUGCAGCUCUCCAAGUGUUGCUGCCGUUGAUGUUGCCUGUGCCCCGGGUUUUGUUUGGGAUGCCGUUCGAGGGUCCCAGCGAAAGGGGUUCGGGGGCGUUGUAAACAAUGUGCUGUUAUAGUUGAAUUUGAAUUUUCAUUUUGAUAAGCAACAAAAAGGCAUAAUCACACAUCAAAUUGCAUGUCGGGCCAGAGGGGCUCGGAUCGGUCGGUCGGUCGGUUGGUUUGGUUCGUUUUGGUUUCGGGCUCGGAAAAGUGAUGUCGGAACUGAAGGGGAUUGGGAGUGCUGGCCAAGGCGAACCUUAUGGUAAUGAAGUAUAGCAGCUGUUUUUGAGUUGAAUUUGAAUAAAAAGCGAGUGCAGGGGGAUGGAUGGUGGCGGUUGCCAGUCACUGAUUUACAUUUGAUACAGAGACCGAGCCUCGGACUACUUGAACAAUCAGAUUCAAUUUGUGCCACGCAUUCGUUUUCGUUUUCAUUUUCAUUUUCUUGAUCUGCCCCCCUGAACAACAAGUGAUGGUGACGAUCAAGUGUACGGCCCCUACAGUAGAUUAUGCUCUAUUUGAUUUAGGCAUGGAUUUUAUUAUUAUACUUUUGGUGGCUUUAUUAUUACAAUGGCGCCUCGAGUGCCGAAACGCAAUCUUCAUUUAUCUCGUAUUUAUCUUUAUCUCGACUGUGUGGGCUCAUCUUCGAAAUGGACAAACACAAAAGCUGGGCAUUAUUUAGUUUGUCGCCGUGUCCCCGGUUUCAACUUGUUUUCGAGGUUACCAUAAUAAACAGCCCCACCUGCGCCAUUCGCGCACACACAUCAUUUCCAUGUAAAGUUAUAAAAUGUUUCACAAAUCCAUAAAAACCCAAAAGGUAAAGAAUCUGAGGCGUGCGUUUAGGUCCACCCAAAUCCCCUGUCCGAUCCCAUGCCAUACUAUUCCACUCCAUGCCAUACCAUACCACUCUACUCCAUUCCAUUCCAUGCCACCAGAAUCCCAGGUGCAAUGCGUGUUGCAGUUGAGCUCUCUGCGAUGUUGUUGUUUUGUUUCUGCUCCGGCUUUUGUUUUCCGCAUUUCGGGUCAGGUAGAGCGGAGCAUCUUCCUCGACGCCCCUAAAAGCCUUCGCAUUGUUCUCGCCAGUAGAAGUGAAAUAUGUUGCAGCGAGCAUGCUGCUGCAUCACCGGGAUUAGGACAGGUAAGGUUGUAAAUUUCACCAGCCACGGGAGUCGACCCUGGAGUCAAAAGGUUGACGAGUAAAUGUGGAAACCCUAGUUCCAGCAAGGAAUAAGGGUAUACCAAAAAAAUGAUAGCCCUCAAGUAAUCUCACAAAGAGGGUAAACAAAUCGUUAAGAAAAAUUCAUAAAUUCGCUAAAUUAAUAACAUAACAAAACGGCAUAAUGACAUAACCAAAGAAAUAUCAUAAUGAAAAUCUCUCUUUUACACAAGAAACCAUCAUAAUUCCCCAAUCCUUGUGACAUAGCAACGCACUAAAAUUAUGGUUAAAUUUGCCAAAGCAAGGAAACCCCGGAGUUUAUCUGCUAAUAACAAUAAAAUGCCAUCAAUGGUUCGUAUUUUGUCAGGCUCAAUAAAAACAACAGCAUAAAUGAAACAUAGCCACAAAGUACUUUCAUUCCGUCAUAUGUCUGGCCAAUAAAGCGGAAGUUUGGGCCCCCAACCAAUGCCCAUGGUUGUACAUAAAUCAAGUUAUUCUUUAUUAAUUCUUAGGCGAAGCAUAAAGUAAAUAUCUUCGAGGACUGGCAGACGCAGCAAAGCAAACAUAAAUUUGGAGCUCUAUUAAUCUGGAGGUCAUAAUCCAUCGAACCACCCUCUUUGGGAUAUUUGAAGCGAUGCCUUGGGAUUUGGGAUAUAUUUUAAAGACAUUUUUAAAUAGAAUAGAAUAAAUAAAUAAAUAUCCUUAUAAGAACUUAACUAUUGUUAAAUUCAUGUCAACUUUAAUAUAAAAUCAAGUGCAUCAAGAAGACAUAUUUGUCAGCUUCAAUUUAAAAGCCAAAAUUACUAUUUUGUGAAAAUGCCCAAGAACAUGCGACCGAUAUUGUUAAAUGGAAAUUUCUUUGGUCUGCCCCGUGUCCUGUGUCCUUCUGCCCCAGCACCACCACCCCCCCCCCCCCUCCGUUUACACUCCAAGUGACGCACACGCAUCGUAUCAAAUUUCAUGGCUGCCGCAUGGGUGUGCGUGGGUAUCUGUGAGUGCUGCGUCGUAUCCAGGUUCGUUUCGUAUCUUUUGCUCUUCCACUGGCGGCGUGUUGAUGACAGAUUUCGUCCGUCUGUCCGUCCGUCCAUCCGUUCGUCGCUGUGUCGUUUCAUUUUCGUUUCGUUGAAGUCAUUUUUACUCAUUUAUUGUCACCGUUAGAGUACGUCAGAGAGUGUGUGUAUAUAUCCUUACAAGUACUCGGGAACCCUGCAGGCGGUCAUCCAUGGUAUUGAUUCCACUUCCAUCUCCACUUCCAUUUCCAUUUCCAUUCCCAUACCGACUUCCCACAUCCAUUUCGCCCGCCACAGCGGGGCACUCAGUCAGUCAAUUGACAUGACUCAACAACAGGCGAAUGUCCCUGCGAUUCCCUCGCCGUUCGUGCUCCUCCAUUUUUGUAUUCUUAUUAAAUAUUUAAAAGCUUUGGCCUUUGUUUCUCCAACUGCCCGGGCCAGGCAAAUACUUAAUAAUUUCAUUCCGUUUCUUCAGUCGCACCGCAGGUUGCCUCCUGCCUCCACUUUAUCAUCAUGCCAGCCCGGCCAUCCUGCCUUUUUGACAAACUGCACGCACAGCGGCAACUUUAAAAUUAUGGUUUGUUGCAUUUUAAAUACAAAUUAUACACCAAAGGCUCUGACUCACCGAGCGCAAAGGAACUCGUAACUCGUAACUCGGGAGGCAGUGGAACAAGUGGGUCAGGUAAGACAAUGAAUGGUCAUUAACCGCCCUGCUUCGAAGGGAAAACCCCGGCAGUUUUGAUCCUAGUCCAUGCGAGGGUUGCUCAAGAAGCGGGGAUGAUUUCACAUUGCGGCAUGGAUUGGAAUGCUCUUUUUUUUCAUGUUUUGGGCAAGUCAAGUGAGUUGACACCUUUAAAUGUCUAAAAAAAAAUAUAUCUGUUGGUGCUGACUGGUGACCCCAUUUGUGGGGUGACCCUGCCAUGUGGUGACACCUUAACAGUUAGCCAAGUGGCCAGACUAUUUCCCUCCACGAGAUGACCCCAUCCUAAGUGGUAGAAUAUAUUCUAUUCAUCGUGGUUUGCCCCCCCGUAGAGGCCAUAAAAAGUUCUCACACUUGGCUGUCAACCAACUCAAAUGUUCUCAUAUGCGUGGUGGAACAAGAAAGAACGAAGGAGAGCCCAUUAAAAAAUUGAUCUAACCUGACCUCCAUAACGAAAUGAAAGACCCAAUUAGCUGCUUAUAAAAUUGAUCAUGGCAAACGAAGACUUGCAAUAUAAGGAUGCCACCCUGAAAAGGUGACCCCAAUUUGGUGGCUACCCUUCUCAAAAGUGAAACGUCGAGAAGUUAUCAAAUUACUUAAAAGUUCAUACAGAAAACGGAGGAUCCAUAUGGAUAUUUUUAUGGAACUGGAACUGCACAGCACUUUAUAUAAAUUUAGAAUAUGGAUUUUUGGUAUUGAUUUCCGAAUGAAAUAAAUAAGUAAAAAUUUAAGUUUUUUUUUUUUUAAAUAAUAAACAUUACUGGUCCGAAAAUAAACCAUAUUUUUUGUCUUGUUCAUGCACACUGCCACAGAUUUCCCAUAUCUUUUGAGCACUCCUCGCCGUGGAACCUUUCAGGUUGCAGCUGCAGGUACACAGGGUGCAAGUGGCGCCCUUCGCCGACAUGGUUAUCAAAAGGGAAACCAGGGAGUGGCCACGUGAACGCAAGAGGACAAUGGAGUGAACCAAGUGAAUAGAACCUAAAAGUAUAAUAUGACAAUUGUUGGAAAUUUUCCAAAGAGGGCGGGCGGCGGCACUAACUAUAUGCUACGGCCAUACCAUACCAUAUGCGGUUGCCCAUAAAGGAAAUGAAAAAGAGAUUCACCGAUGGCCUCAGGUGGGUUUGCAAGGCGGGGAUAAUUGCAUCGGACUGUUUGGAGAAUGAUGGACUCGGGUUGUGGGACUGGCACUGGUACUUCGACUGCGACUGGGACUGGAUUAGUGGCGAGUGGUUUCCCGGCUGGCAUUUGGCAUUUAAAGUGCCAAACUUCUUUGGGGAGCACGGGGUUUCAAGUGGAUGAAGGGCAGACCUAUUUGCAAAGCCUCCUGCCCGCCAUCUGCAUCUGCAUCGUUCGUCUAACACUCAUUUCAACUCAAGUUGCGCUCGCGCACGGCAAAUAUGCCUGGAAUUUUUCAGCCCUUUUUGCAGCAACAGCCGUAGAAGUAGCUUCACAUGGUGGCACUUGCUCCACUCGUCUGAUUCCAGCAAAUAUUUGCAAAUUUACGUUGACCCGGGGAACUGGGACGGUGCGGCGGCAUUAGCGACAACUGUCGUGGAGUGGCACUUAAUGAGCGGCGACUGGAGCUCCUCUUACUGCCAUUUCCACCGCUGCUCCGCUGCGUGGUGCGGUGCGGUGCAGUGCGGUGCGGUGUGGUUAUGUGCUACUGUUACUGCAGUGGCCCGCAUGUCGGACGAAAACCAGAGAGAUUGGGACGGACAAGGUACCAGGGACGAUUGCAGACCAGAGAACCCCAGACCAGAGACAAUCCAGCUGGAGUUAUGCACGAUGGCCAUGCAAUUGGCGUGGCAGCAGCAGUAGCUGUAGUAGCAGCAGUAGCAUCUGCUAUAGCAAAAUCUAUCUUUCGGAUGCGAAACCUUGCGGCUGGUACGCCAGUUUCACUUUGUUUUGCUUCGUUACAUUUCGUUUCGUUGCCUGUUUGUGCCACAUAUUCUACUUCUGCUUCCUCUACUCGUUGUUGUUUAGCACUGCAGUAAUUUGACUUGAUUUGUUUAAGCUGACACACGGACACAGAUGCUGAUGAUGAUGCUGAUGCAAGUUGCAUUCGUUGCAGUUCAAGUUGAAGUUGAAGUUCAUGGGGGGCCACUGCACUUGCGCAAUUAUACGCUUAUUAGGAGAACUCUUUCACGGAUUAAGUCAUUAUUGCAUUCAACUCUGGGCGCCACUUGAAGCCACUUAUCACAUUUCAAUCGGUUCAACUUACAUAAACAGUCAAUUAAUCGCGUCAAAAGAAACAUGCCUUUAAUCUCCUUAAAAAUAUGCCCAUAAAAAGUGCAUGAAAUGUAACAUCAUAAAUGAACAAAACUUACAUAAAUCAAAAUGUAACACACAGCGCAAUGCACAUAAAAUUCACUGCAAAAGUUACAUCACUCACAGAAAAUAGGUGCAGAGAAGUCCUUUCAUAAACUUCUAAACUAAUGAAAGUAGAAAACAAUCGUAUUCUUCUAACCCAAAAGCCAUUUUGAACUGUUUUUAUUUAGAUAAUAAGCUAAUAAGAAGAAUAAUUAUUUUUAUAUAGCAUUAUUACUUGUUUAUAUAAAUUAAUAUUAAAUUACCGCCAACAGGAUACGAAAGACUUCCCUUCGGAAAAAUGGAUUUUAAAACCCUGUUAAUACUAGCAUAACCAAAAGUUCAGUUUCAACCGCAACUUAUUCAAAGUUAAGCCCAUUAAUAAUUUCGUAUUGAGUUAUCGUCGUGAUUAAUCCCCGUCCGUUUCGAAUUUGGCUCAGUGUACGCCCGUUUACUGGGCGACUCUACCCCCGAUGACAAAUGUGCCGCUGCCAUGUAAUCGCAUUAAACGUUCGCCGCUGUAGCUUCACACCCCCCCCUUUUUCCGGGUGGCCAGCGCUCCUGGAUUUUCGCCCGUUGCAUAUGUUGCGCUCAUUAAAUUGGUAUUUAUAAUGGCCCUGGCUAAAUCGCCGCCCAUUCGCCACGCCCCUCGCUUACUGUGAAGUAUUACGAGUUCGUCUAUGGGUAUUACGUGCAAGCACUGCAUCGCAGCGAGCGGUAUGAGUAUGGGUAUGAUGAUGAUGGCAAUCAUCAUAAUUUUUCGGCAGCUCCACCGGAGAAGCACAAAAAGCGCAAAUCGAACGAAACAUCGACGGGGGGAGGGGGAAGCUGAAAAGAUAGAAAUUGGUCGACGAGCCUGCAAUUGACAAUCUACAAUCGACAGCGUCUAGGCAAAUUGCGAAAUUAAUUAAAUUUUAGCACAACUUUCGAACGGUACAAAAACUCAGCACUGGCUGGUUGAAUGUUGCUGUUGUAGCUGUUGUUGCUGUGCGUUGAUUGCCGCUCUGCGGUUGCUGCGGUCGCUGGUUGGGAAUAAAGGGGGUAACAAGCGGUGGGUUACGGGUAAUGGGUAGCGGCAAGCGGAGGACCUGGAGUGGACCGCACCGAUG